CCUACGGGAGGCUGCAGUGGGGAAUAUUGGACAAUGGGCGAAAGCCUGAUCCAGCCAUGCCGCGUGUGUGAAGAAGGCCUUCGGGUUGUAAAGCACUUUCAGUGGGGAAGAAAGCCUUGGGGCUAAUACCCUCGAGGAAGGACAUCACCCACAGAAGAAGCACCGGCUAACUCCGUGCCAGCAGCCGCGGUAAUACGGAGGGUGCGAGCGUUAAUCGGAAUUACUGGGCGUAAAGCGCGCGUAGGCGGUCUGAUAAGCCGGAUGUGAAAGCCCCGGGCUCAACCUGGGAACGGCAUCCGGAACUGUCAGGCUAGAGUGCAGGAGAGGAAGGUAGAAUUCCCGGUGUAGCAGUGAAAUGCGUAGAGAUCGGGAGGAAUACCAGUGGCGAAGGCGGCCUUCUGGACUGACACUGACGCUGAGGUGCGAAAGCGUGGGUAGCAAACAGGAUUAGAUACCCCAGUAGUC
rnacentral:rRNA from 1 species